rnacentral:rRNA from 1 species
AUUGAACGCUGGCGGCAUGCCUUACACAUGCAAGUCGAACGGUAACAGGUCUUCGGAUGCUGACGAGUGGCGAACGGGUGAGUAAUACAUCGGAACGUGCCCGAGAGUGGGGGAUAACGAGGCGAAAGCUUUGCUAAUACCGCAUACGAUCUCAGGAUGAAAGCAGGGGACCGCAAGGCCUUGCGCUCACGGAGCGGCCGAUGGCAGAUUAGGUAGUUGGUGGGAUAAAAGCUUACCAAGCCGACGAUCUGUAGCUGGUCUGAGAGGACGACCAGCCACACUGGGACUGAGACACGGCCCAGACUCCUACGGGAGGCAGCAGUGGGGAAUUUUGGACAAUGGGCGCAAGCCUGAUCCAGCCAUGCCGCGCGCAGGAUGAAGGCCUUCGGGUUGUAAACUGCUUUUGUACGGAACGAAAAGACUCUGGUUAAUACCUGGGGUCCAUGACGGUACCGUAAGAAUAAGCACCGGCUAACUACGUGCCAGCCGCCGCAGUAAUAC